rnacentral:lncRNA from 1 species
UUGAGCUAAGCAAACCAACAAAUAAAAAAUGGAGAGGCGUCAGAGUGAGGAAGAAUUAAAGCAUAAGCUUCAAGAAUUGCAGAAGCAGUUAGGAAAGAAACAAAUGUUUGAGGAAGCUGUUUCCUCUAUCCGAUCCCUUCUUCUUCAAUACUAUCCUUCUGCUUCCCCUUCUCUUCGUCAUUCGGUAAUUUCCCUCUUCCCCUUUUCUGGGUUUUCCUUUUAUUCUUGAUUUAUGUAAUAUGUAUUACGGGAAAUGUUGACCCAUUAUUUUCUUUUCUGCUAUAGAAAAGUCUUAUUACUUAAUUUUGCUUUUGAGUUAGUGGUUUUCGUGAUUUAUUUGAGUAUAUAUGAGUUUGGAUAGCUGCAGAAUAAAAAGUUAACUGGGUGAGUUUUACUUCUUGGAGCUGAAUUAUGGAAAAUAGGUUGCUAUGGAUAAAUGAGUUGGUAGAGGAGACGAGGUUUAUGCCAUAACAAAGUAUGUAAAUGAUUGUGCACUUUGGCACCUAAGCUUUGUUUUACACAAUGUAAAAUAUUUUCGUGAAAU